GACGAACGCGGCGGCGUGCUUAACACAUGCAAGUCGAACGAAGAGCGAUGGAAGCUUGCUUCUAUCAAUCUUAGUGGCGAACGGGUGAGUAACGCGUAAUCAACCUGCCCUUCAGAGGGGGACAACAGUUGGAAACGACUGCUAAUACCGCAUACGAUCUAAUCUCGGCAUCGAGGAUAGAUGAAAGGUGGCCUCUACAUGUAAGCUAUCACUGAAGGAGGGGAUUGCGUCUGAUUAGCUAGUUGGAGGGGUAACGGCCCACCAAGGCGAUGAUCAGUAGCCGGUCUGAGAGGAUGAACGGCCACAUUGGGACUGAGACACGGCCCAGACUCCUACGGGAGGCAGCAGUGGGGAAUCUUCCGCAAUGGACGAAAGUCUGACGGAGCAACGCCGCGUGAGUGAUGACGGCCCUCGGGUCGUAAAGCUCUGUUAAUCGGGACGAAAGGCCUUCUUGCGAAUAGUGAGAAGGAUUGACGGUACCCGAAUA
rnacentral:rRNA from 1 species